rnacentral:rRNA from 1 species
GACGAACGCUGGCGGCGUGCUUAACACAUGCAAGUCGAACGGAAAGGUCUGCUCUUGCGGGGUGCUCGAGUGGCGAACGGGUGAGUAACACGUGAGCAACCUGCCCUUGACGUUGGGAUCACUUCAGGAAACUGGGGCUAAUACCGGAUAGGAGCUCCUGCUGCAUGGUGGGGGUUGGAAAGUUUCGGCGGUUGGGGAUGGACUCGCGGCUUAUCAACUUGUUGGUGGGGUAGUGGCUUACCAAGGCGUUCACGGGUAGCCGGCCUGAGAGGGUGACCGGCAACAGUGGGACUGUGCUACGGCCCGGACUCGUGCGGAAGGCAGCAGUGGGGAUGAGUGCACGAUGGGCGGAAGCCUGGUGCAGCAAGGCCGCGUGCGGGAUGGUAAACUUCGGGUUGUAAACCACUUUCGCAUGUAACGGAGAGUAGGUGACGGUAAUGUAUGAAUAAGCACCGGCUAACUACGUG